rnacentral:rRNA from 1 species
AAUAGAUACCCCGGUAGUCCCAGCCGUAAACGAUGCUCGCUAGGUGUCAGGCAUGGCGCGACCGUGUCUGGUGCCGCAGGGAAGCCGUGAAGCGAGCCACCUGGGAAGUACGGCCGCAAGGCUGAAACUUAAAGGAAUUGACGGGGGAGCACAACAACGGGUGGAGCCUGCGGUUUAAUUGGACUCAACGCCGGACAACUCACCGGGGGCGACAGCAAUAUGUAGGCCAAGCUGAAGACUUUGCCUGAAUCGCUGAGAGGAGGUGCAUGGCCGUCGCCAGUUCGUACUGUGAAGCAUCCUGUUAAGUCAGGCAACGAGCGAGACCCGUGCCCACUGUUACCAGCAUGUCCUCCGGGACGAUGGGUACUCUGUGGGGACCGCCGAUGUUAAAUCGGAGGAAGGUGCGGGCCACGGUAGGUCAGUAUGCCCCCGAAUCUCCCGGGCUACACGCGGGCUACAAUGGAUGGGACAAUGGGUCCCUCCCCUGAAAAGGGCUGGUAAUCUCACAAACCCAUUCGUAGUUCGGAUCGAGGGCUGUAACUCCG